rnacentral:rRNA from 1 species
GACGAACGCUGGCGGCGUGCUUAACACAUGCAAGUCGAACGGUAAGGCCCUUCGGGGUGCACGAGUGGCGAACGGGUGAGUAACACGUGGGUGAUCUGCCCUGCACUUCGGGAUAAGCCUGGGAAACUGGGUCUAAUACCGGAUGGGACUCCGGACUGCAUGGUCUGGGGUGGAAAGCUUUUGCGGUGUGGGAUGGGCCCGCGGCCUAUCAGCUUGUUGGUGGGGUGAUGGCCUACCAAGGCGACGACGGGUAGCCGGCCUGAGAGGGUGACCGGCCACACUGGAACAGAGAUACGGCCCAGACUCCUACGGGAGGCAGCAGUGGGGAAUAUUGCUCAAUGGGCGCAAGCCUGAUGCAGCGACGCCGCGUGAGGGAUGACGGCCUUCGGGUUGUAAACCUCUUUCAGCAUCGACGAAGCGAAAGUGACGGUAGGUGCAGAAGAAGGACCGGCCGACUACGUGCCAGCAGCCGCAGUAA